AGUUAUUUUCUUUUAGGGCUUGAAAUGUAUCAUUUCAUGCCUUCCUGGGUGUUUAGAGUUUUGGCUAAGAAAUCAUUUUGUUUUGAUGGUUUUGCCUUGAUAAGUGACUUGGUGUUUUUCUCUUAGAGCUUUUAAUAUUUUUUCUUCUCUAUUUUUAGCAUUUUAAAUACAUAUUAUGUUCUGAAGAGAUUCUGUUUUGGUUAUUUGGGGUUCUAAAUGCCUCUAGUACCUGGAUGUUCAUAUCAUUCCCCAGAUUUGGGAAACAUUUCUUCUAUUAUUUCACUGAGUAGGUUUUCUGUGCUAUUAGCCUGUAGUUCUGCUCCUUCCUCUAGAUCUAUGAGUCUUAAGUGUGUUCUUUUAAUUUGCCCAGAGUAUGUUUUACUCAUAGUUUCUUAUUUUCUUUUUACUUAAAUUACUGUCUAAAUGAGGCCAGUCCCAGGUAUAAAACUUAUGUACCAGCUCGCUUGUCUGCUCAGACUGCAUAUUUGCAGGGUGGCAGACUGUACUCCUGGAGAUAUUUCAACCUGCUAAAGGUGCACUACUCCCUGCUGUGCCACCUCGGAGCUCAGUGUUAAUGUACUCUUAUUCUAAAUAUCAUUAUUGCUGGGUUUCACGUGGUCACUAACUCUCCACAAUUGCACUUCAGUGUUUUCCUAUGGGUCCCCCACCUCAACAUGCAGCUGCAUACCAUUCUUGUUUUAGUUCAACCUCAUGGAGCAGCAAGUAAGUCUGACUGUUUCCAAUCUGCCAUCUUCCUCUUUCUAAUAUCUCUGAUGAUCAAAUACUGCCAAAUCUUUAU
rnacentral:lncRNA from 1 species